UACGUAGGGUGCGAGCGUUGUCCGGAUUUAUUGGGCGUAAAGGGCUCGUAGGCGGCCUGUCGCGUCGGGAGUGAAAGCCCACUGCUUAACGGUGGGUCUGCUUCCGGUACGGGCGGGCUGGAGUAUGGCAGGGGAGACUGGAAUUCCUGGUGUAGCGGUGGAAUGCGCAGAUAUCAGGAGGAACACCGGUGGCGGAGGCGGGUCUCUGGGCCAUUACUGACGCUGAGGAGCGAAAGCGUGGGGAGCGAACAGG
rnacentral:rRNA from 1 species